GAUGAACGCUGGCGGCGUGCCUAAUACAUGCAAGUCGAGCGAACAGACGAGGAACUUGCUCCUCUGACGUUAGCGGCGGACGGGUGAGUAACACGUGGAUAACCUACCUAUAAGACUGGGAUAACUUCGGGAAACCGGAGCUAAUACCGGAUAAUAUAUUGAACCGCAUGGUUCAAUAGUGAAAGACGGCUUUGCUGUCACUUAUAGAUGGAUCCGCGCCGCAUUAGCUAGUUGGUAAGGUAACGGCUUACCAAGGCAACGAUGCGUAGCCGACCUGAGAGGGUGAUCGGCCACACUGGAACUGAGACACGGUCCAGACUCCUACGGGAGGCAGCAGUAGGGAAUCUUCCGCAAUGGGCGAAAGCCUGACGGAGCAACGCCGCGUGAGUGAUGAAGGUCUUCGGAUCGUAAAACUCUGUUAUUAGGGAAGAACAAAUGUGUAAGUAACUAUGCACGUCUUGACGGUACCUACUCAGAAAGCCCCGGCUAACUCCGUG
rnacentral:rRNA from 1 species